rnacentral:lncRNA from 1 species
AGGCAAGCUGCAUAAUUAAACAACUAGGUAUUCAAAUUACAACCAAAAAAACCUUUAUUCUUUAAUCUGAAUCAUUUCAAAUAAGAUUUUUAAUUUUAUCAACUUUCGCCUGGAACAAUGACUUUGAUCUAAACAACCAGUUAUUAUAAUCUAAAAACGAUAUAAAAAAAACACAUACUAAUAUUUAAAUAAGCAUUUCUCUCUGCUACAUAUAAUAUUUUAUUCAAAUUUCAAGAAAAGCUUUAAGAAUUUUGAAGCUUAUCCUGGAAGGGUACAACAACAAUAUUGGCCGAAAGGUGGUUGACAUUCCCCUUUUGUAUAACCUUGUCGUUUGCAUUCGUUAUCACAACCCGUAAAAUAUGGACACUUGCCGAUGCAGCUAAGAGCACAUUCAACUUUCUGCACACUUGUUGAUAAUACAAAAAUUGCAAUCAAAGCUACAACAAAAAGAGUGUAACAGCGACUCAUUUUGACCUAUUUUUUUCUCUUCUGAUUCUAUGAUACUACAGAU